UUAAUUUUUUCAGCAUAUACAUAAAAUACAUACAAACUAAAAAGAAUGAAACAAAGAAUACUACAAGAAAAAAGAAAACUAAAAAAGUGCGAAAAUACAGAAAAGACUAUUACAUGGUGGCUUCCAACUUUCUACAACAAAGUUAUAUAUAACUCAUUAUCACAUUUCCAUCUCUAUAUGACAUUCUCCUCUAAAACAAACUAUCUCUC